UGGGCUGGUCCACAGUUGACUUUGUUCCCUACAUACGGCCUCUUCCACUUGCAGUACCAGAUACGCUUUCCAGAAGAAGAGCCUCUCGAGCUAGCCUACUGCAGCUGUAGGCAGGGCCUCUGCGGCGGAGUACCCGGAGUGGCCAUGUCGCGAGUGUUGGGAGACCUGUAAAGACACUGGAGGCUGUGGAGCACGAGUGAAGUGUGCUGGCAUGACUGUGCCUACCUGGGAAUGGGGUGUAGGACAAAUGAGAUUUACAUGCACAUUGGGGGGAUACCGAGUAUUGGAAAAAAGACCAACUUGGCACCAAGAUGGGAUACAGAUGUUACAACUGUGAACCCACGUCAACGCUGACUGUAAACUUCAGCCAUCCUGCAAUCUUGGGGAGCCUAACAGCUCUACCCGGCUGACUUUUAAUAUGGAAAGAUAUGUUUGUGCAUGCAGAAGUUACAGAGAUCUCGGGGAAACUCCAGCUCCGUGGCCAGGACAUGAAGAGAAGAGAAACUUCAAAGACUCACAGCAACAGAAGUGCUGGAAGCGACUGGGGCGUGAGAUGUUCAUCUGCAUCUCGGGAGAUGUGAAUCCUCUUACUUAG
rnacentral:lncRNA from 1 species